UUUAAGGGGUGCUGGCGGUACGCCGGCUGAGAUCGCGCAGAGCGGAACCCUCAAACCUGAUGCGGAUAAUGCCGCCGUAGGAAUUGAA
rnacentral:ncRNA from 1 species